UACGUAGGGUGCAAGCGUUAAUCGGAAUUACUGGGCGUAAAGCGUGCGCAGGCGGUUUUGUAAGUUUGUCGUGAAAGCCCCGGGCUCAACCUGGGAAUUGCGAUGAAGACUGCAAGGCUUGAAUCUGGCAGAGGGGGGUAGAAUUCCACGUGUAGCAGUGAAAUGCGUAGAGAUGUGGAGGAACACCGAUGGCGAAAGCAGCCCCCUGGGUCAAGAUUGACGCUCAUGCACGAAAGCGUGGGGAGCAAACAGG
rnacentral:rRNA from 1 species